rnacentral:rRNA from 1 species
UACGGAGGGUGCAAGCGUUAUCCGGAUUCACUGGGGUUAAAGGGUGCGUAGGUGGGCAGGUAAGUCAGUGGUGAAAUCUCCGGGCUUAACCCGGAAACUGCCGUUGAUACUAUUUGUCUUGAAUAUUGUGGAGGUAAGCGGAAUAUGUCAUGUAGCGGUGAAAUGCUUAGAUAUGACAUAGAACACCAAUUGCGAAGGCAGCUUACUACACAAUGAUUGACACUGAGGCACGAAAGCGUGGGGAUCAAACAGG